AGAGUUUGACUCUGGCUCAGGAUGAACGCUGGCGGCGUGCCUAACACAUGCAAGUCGAACGGAUCCAUAUUGAAACCUAGUGAUGUAUGGAUUAGUGGCGGACGGGUGAGUAACGCGUGGAUAACCUGCCGUAUACAGGGGGAUAACACUUAGAAAUAGGUGCUAAUACCGCAUAAGCGCACGGUUCCGCAUGGAACAGUGUGAAAAACUCCGGUGGUAUACGAUGGAUCCGCGUCUGAUUAGCCAGUUGGCGGGGUAACGGCCCACCAAAGCGACGACCAGUAGCCGGCCUGAGAAGGUGAACGGCCACAUUGGGACUGAGACACGGCCCAAACUCCUACGGGAGGCAGCAGUGGGGAAUAUUGCACAAUGGGGGAAACCCUGAUGCAGCGACGCCGCGUGAGUGAAGAAGUAUCUCGGUACGUAAAGCUCUAUCAGCAGGGAAGAAAAUGACGGUACCUGAUUAAGAAGCCCCGGCUAACUACGUGCCAGCAGCCGCGGUAAUACGUAGGGGGCAAGCGUUAUCCGGAUUUACUGGGUGUAAAGGGAGCGUAGACGGCAGCGCAAGUCUGGAGUGAAAUGCCGGGGCCCAACCCCGGAACUGCUUUGGAAACUGUGCAGCUCGAGUGCAGGAGAGGUAAGCGGAAUUCCUAGUGUAGCGGUGAAAUGCGUAGAUAUUAGGAGGAACACCAGUGGCGAAGGCGGCUUACUGGACUGUAACUGACGUUGAGGCUCGAAAGCGUGGGGAGCAAACAGGAUUAGAUACCCUGGUAGUCCACGCCGUAAACGAUGAUUACUAGGUGUCGGGGGGGCCAAGGCCCUCCGGGUGCCGGCGCAAA
rnacentral:rRNA from 1 species